rnacentral:lncRNA from 1 species
CCUGGAGACCCCAGCCCGCAGCUCUAGCUCCAGGAGAAGCGACCCAUCUCCGUGGCCCUUCCUCCCGUAAACUCCCACCUCCUCCCCAGGUCCCCGGCUUUAGAAAGAAGACUUGACGCCUGUGACGACUCCCCUCUUAAGCCACAGACAAUAUGAGGACCCCGGGGGUCGGCGCGACCGGGCAGGAUCGCGCCCCGCUUGGGGCUGGACCCUGGUCCACGGAGCCCCGCCCCUAGCCCCGCCCACCACACCUGCCGCCUGCUCGAGGCUUGGACACGCCCGGGUCUUCUCUUGCCCCGCGCUGCGCCACCCGACCUGGGCCCUGGGAUGGGGCAGGGGCGGGGGGUGCUCGGCCCUGCCACACUGUGUGACCUUGGGAAGAUGCUUUUGCUGCUGCCAUUUCACAGACGGGAAAGCGACAACGGCCCGCCUGGACUUGAACACAGGCCCAAGGCCUUCUGACCACUUGCCCGCCUCUGCUGGGUAGGCUCAGGUUAGAGGGCCCUUUGCCCUCCCGGACCCAUUCCUAGGCCAUUGGGGCAGCUCCCUGGGCCCACCUCUCUGCCACUCCUAGCCCAGGCCACCUAGGCAGGAGCUCCCAGCCUGCCCGGGGCUGAUCCCCAGCCCACUGACCCCAGCCCUGGCCCCAGCGGGCAGGCGGGCAUUGCUCAACCUUUGGUGUUAUCUGCUGAGCUGGGGUGACCUCCGCCCCCAAGAGCUGGAGAAAUGACAUCUCUGGGCACCCUUGGUGGGUAGGAGGCAGGGAGGGAGGGGAUAAAACACUGGCCCAGCCUGCUGGCUUUCUGGGUCUUCCCAGCAGCCUCUGGGUUGGGGAGGGAUCAAGGCCCAGAGGGGUGCGGCAGCUUCCCUAGGGCCACCCGGCCAGCCCUUCCUCACUGCAAAAUGGGACACUCAGGGCUGAGCUAGAGGCCACGGCUUCUGAGAGGCCCUCCCUGUCCCACCUGCUAGUGAAUUUCCUUCCCUAUCGCCAGCCACCAUUAUCCUAGCUGUCUACCUCAGUCUCCCUGCAGGCUGCCACUUGGGGAGGGCUGGCCCACGAGGGACUCCUGAGCACAGCACGCUCAACAUUUACCAGUGAAGGAAUGCAUUUGCUGUUCCCUGUGCACCAAGAACACUGUCACCCCACCUCUGCCCAAGGCAGCUCCUCAGGUCUCAGCCCAAAAGCUGCCUCCUCCGGGAAACCCUCCCUGACCUUCCCAUGGGAAGUCUAGGCCCUCAGUCACUCCUCUCACACCCCUGCUUCAUUUCCGUCACCAUUCUCAUUAUAAUCAGAAUUAUCUUGCCUGCCAGUCUUGCUGUCUGUCCCCACGGCCUUCACUACUGUGUCCCUGGUGCCUAGAACAGAGCCUGGUACAUAGAAGGUGCUCGAUGAAUGGUGAGUGAAUAAAUGGAGGAGGCUGAGAAGAAGGAGAGGUUCCUCGUUAGCUGGGCUGUGUGACCUUAGGCAAAAUGGCUCCCCUCUCUGAACCAAAGCACUCGCCCACGUUCCCUUUCUGGAUUCUGAAGAGAUGCAGGGAGAUAUGGGGGAACUGAAGCUAAUUGGAGGAUUUGCUGUGUGUUCUUAGGCCAAACUUCCACCUUCUCUGAACCACAUUCCAAGCUCUUUGCAUGUAUUAACUCAUUUAAUCCUACUGAUAAUUUGUAGGAGGCAGGUCUUUUUUCUUCUUCUUUUUUCAUAUUUUUCAAUGUUUUGUAGAGAUGGAUAUGUCUCACUCUGUUGCUCAGGCUUUUCUCGAACGCCUGGCCUCAAGUGGCCCUCUUGCCUCAGCCUCCCAAAGUGCUGAGAUUACAGGUGUGAGCCGCUGCGCCAGGCCACAGUCUUAUCAUUAUCUCCACUUUAUAGAUGAGGAAACUGAGGCCCAGAAGAGCUAAGUGUGUCUGCUCCAGGUCACAUGAAAGGAUGAGAAGGAAUAAAAUCUUUCCAGUCUGACUUUCCCUCUUGGGUUUGUCAUAACAGGCCUGGCAAUGUGAGUCCCAUCUUCUGGAUAGAAGAACUGAGUAUAUACUGCCCCCAGGUGGCAGGUUCUGGGACUGCAGGAGCCAUUCACAUGCGUGAAGAUCCGCUGGGCGCCCUUGCUCUGGGAUCAGGAAAGGCCGGUGCCAUGGAUGUGAUAGAUGCACACAGGGCAUCAGCAGGCCGCCGAGAGGAACCAGAGUGUCCAACGAACAGAAAACAGUGCUCAACCUUCACAUUUAUCGAAUGUUCCUUGGCACAUGCUGUAAUUCUGGCCCUAAAGACACAUUCAUGGACAAGACAAGCAAUUCCUGUUCUCGUGGAGCUGAAAUUCUCCUGGGGGAAGACAAGCACUAAACAAGAUCAAUGAUUAAAGUAUAGAUUGUAUUAGAUUCUGGUCAGCACUAUGGAGGAAAAUACAGCAGGGGAGCAGAGCAGGAGUUCUGGGAGAUUUGAUUUUUUGUUUUCUGGGGUUUUUUGUUUGUUUGUUUUUUGAGACAGGGUCUCACUGCUGGAGUGCAGUGGCACGAUCUCUGCUCACUGCAGCCUCUGCUUCUUGGGCUCAGGUGAUCCUCCCACCUCAACCUCCCAAGUAGCUGGGACCACAGGGGCAUGCCACCACACCCAGCUGAUUUUUUAAUGUUUUGUAGAGAUCAGGUCUCAUUAUAUUGCCCAAGCUGGGGGAGUUGAUUUUAACUUUAUGUUAGAGUAGUCAGGGAAGACCUCACUGAGGUGACAUUUAAGCAAAAACCUGAAUGUGGUGAAGCAGGUAUCUGGGGGACCUUGGACCACACAAAGGGAACAGCAAGUGCAAAGGCCCUGAGGUAGGAGCACGUAGUUGUGGUGAUGACGGAGAGUAGCAGGAAUUUGUGUCAUAGAAAUAGUGGGGGCUGGCCAGGCACAGCGGCUCAUGCCUGCAAUCCUAGCACUUUGGGAGGCCGAGGUGGGUGGAUUACUUGAGGUCAGGAGUCUGAGACCAGCCUGGCCAACAUGGUGAAACCCCAUCUCUACUAAAAAUUAAAAAAAAAAAAAUGGCCAGGCAUGGUGGCGUGCAUCUGUAAUCCCAGCUAUUCAGGAGGCUGAGACAUGAGAAUCACUUGAACCCGGGAGGCGGAGGUUGCAGUGAGCCGAAAUUGUGCCUCUGCACUCCAACCUGGGUGACAAAGCAAGACUCUGCCUCCAAAAAAAAAAAAAUGGAACAUGGAAACAUGGAAUGGGAGAAAAUAUUUGCAAAUCAUAUAUCUGAUAAGGGGUUCAUAUCCAGAAUACAUAAAGAACUGUUACAACUCAACAGCAAUAAAAACAACUCAAUUAAAAAUGGGCAAAGGACUUGAAUAAACAUUUCUCCAGAGAAAACUGUGAAUGGCUAAUAAUCACAUGAUAAGAUACUCAACAUCACUAACCAUUAAGGAAAUACAAACCAAAACUGCAAUGAGGCGCAACACUUUGGUGGAUCACCUGAGGUCAAGAGUUGGAGACCAGCCUGGCCGACACGGUGAAACCCCGUCUCUACUAAAAAUACAAAAAUUAGCUGGGCGUGAUGGUACGUGCGUAUAGUCCCAGCUACUUGGGAGGCUGAGGCAGGAGAAUCACUUGAACCUGGGAGGUGGAGGUUGCAGCAAGCCAAGAUCACGCCACUGCACCCCAGCCUGGGCAACUGAGUGAGACUCCAUCUAAAAAACAAACAAAACGCAAUGAGAAGAGAGGAUUUUGAAUGUUCCCGACACAAAGAAAUGAUAAACGCUUGAGGUAAUGGAUAUCCUAAUUACCCAGAUUUGAUUAUUACACGUUGUAUACAUGUAUUGAAAUAUCAUUUUGUAACCCAUGAACAUGUACAAUUAUGUGUCAACUAAAAAUAAAAGGAAUAAAACACAAUGAGAUACCACCUUACGCCCAUUAGGCUGGCUGCUGCGUUGGGAAGGAUGUGUAGAAACUGGAAUGCUUGUGUAGCUACUGUGGGAAAUGGUAUGGCUGUUCCUCAAAAAAUUAAAAAUAGAAUUACCAAAUGACCCAGCAAUUUUAUUUCUGGGUGUGUAUCCAAACGAAUUGAAAGCAAGAUCUUGAAGAGAUAUUUGUACACUCACGUUCAUAGCAGCCUUCUUCACAAUAGCCAAAAGGUGGAAGCAAUUAGCUGGGUGUGGUGGCGGGUGCCUGUAAUCCCUGCUACUU